rnacentral:lncRNA from 1 species
AACUUUCGAUAGUGAGGGGACGCAAUCAGUCGUUGUUGUAGAAUAUAAUUAUCAUCUAAUGUCUAAUUUCUGUGUAUGAUUCAAUAAUUGGUCGAAUUAAGGAAAAAAAGUGUGGGUAUGUUGAUGUCCUCUCAUUGUAUUUAGUAUUUACAAUCAUGGUUACGUAGUGUGCCUGUGACUGCCGGGGAUAUUCUGCACACUCAAUGCAUAAAUCAUUAACAAGAAAGAAAAAAUAUCAACAAAUGACAGCCGUGAUAAUGUACAUAAUUAGAGAACAAGUCCUUAUAAAAUGCUGUUCUCAUGAAUGAGUAAUGGAAAUUACCAAUGUGAUAAGUGAUGAAGUGGGAAGGAGAAGAACAGGAAACACAUUUGGUAACAAGGCGUCCGAUACAUCUUAAAAACACAUAUUUUUUCGAAAUACAUCCCUCACUGUGAAAGGAAAGUGAGACCAACACUCGAAAAUACCAGUGCUAUACAUGAUUCAUGAAUUGGGCAGUACAAUAUCGAUGUGCAAACUAGUAAUGGGCACGAGAAGGAAAGCUGUAGAUGCCACAAGUGGUAUUUUCCACCUAUCCAUAAAAAGGAUCUUUUCGAAAUGAACUCCACAAUGGUAAGGAGGAACAGUAAUAUGUGAUAUCAUACAAAAAAAACGAUGAUGUACUAGCCAGAAGAACAGUGAUACGCAGGGAAACAAUGGGAUGAGAGUAGAAAAGCAGUAGGUGGCAUCUGGUACCCAAUUCAUCCCACCUCGCCGCGUGAGUGGUGCUCGGAGUAGCGGCCGUGUCGUGCACCUUGGUACCUGCUUGCCAGGUGCCAGACUGCCAGCUGACAUUCCUCCUUCAACCACCGUCCCGUGAGCACUGGUGCACCGCCCAUCUUCUCCUCCCGGCAUCCGACUCUUACAUUCCCUUGGACCGUGGUGGUGGUGAGGUUCUGGUAACACGCACUCGCGCAAAAGGAAAGACAGAAAGACAAAAAAGAAAAAUUUGGAUCAUGAGACAAUAGGAGGAACGGUAAGAAGAAAAAAAGAAAAGAAAACAAACAAGUAGAUCGACCUAUCAAUGUGAAGCAGUGACUGACUGUUCUCUCCUUCACGACAGACCGUCACUUGCCAGAACUACCCAGGAUCAAUCGCGUCUCUCUUCUAUUGCACCCACAAACUGUGAAAGAUAAUAGCGACCGUCGUCUCAAUCGGUGUGUAAGACAUUUAUCUCUCUCUCUUUCUCUCGCCGGUAUUGACUCUUACCUGAUAAAGAAUGACCGAGGUGAUGACUAUGUCCGCACCAGCCGGGGUCAACCUGAGCACUUACACCUACACCUCAGCCCCCAGGAUCGUCCAGAACUCCCGCAAGAACUCUAACCGUAUACUGCUAUGGUUUAAAAGGACGAGCAGUGCCGGCAAGCAGAGUUACCACCAGGUUGUGCCUUCAGUGCUACCAAAGCUACUUGUUAUGUGUGACCAGCGCCAAGCAGUCUGUUACUUCCAUCUAGGAAUCUGUGUGGUAUUACUGCUACUGCUUAUGGGUGGAUGGUUGUAACGGUGCACAUGGUGGUGGUGGCGGUGGUAGUGUUGUAGGUGCUAGUAACAGUAGUAGUAGUAGUAGUAGUAGUAGUAGUAGUAAGACAACAGUGGUAAUAUGUAGUAAUGAUAAUGGUGAUAGAUAAUGGAGAAUAAUGGUCACGAACAAUGUAUAUUAUCAUCAGUUCAAAGAAAAUUAUAAGAAAUUUACUAUUACUACUUCUACUAGUACUACUACUACUACUACUACUACUACUACUACUACUACUACUACUACUACUAC